GUGUGCUAAGCGGGAAGCUAGCGGUGUCCUCUUCCUGCAAUCCGCUAUAGCAGGGCUGAAUUCCUUUUUUGAGGAAUUUGAUGGCUGGACAGAUUUUAUGAAAGUGAUGUUGUGCGAAGUUCGCCUUCGUCUGAAAAAGUUAAGCCUAACGCAAUUGGAAGCCGUGAACCUUGUCAGAACCGGAAGGUAGCAGCAAUAAACAGUUUUUCUGAUGUGCCGUUAGUCAACUUGGCUUUAGUUAACUACAUAUUUGACGCCCAGAAUAGAAUCUCGAUUAAAAGGUGCACAC
rnacentral:SRP_RNA from 1 species